UCCUACGGGGAGGCAGCAGUAGGUCAAUUUUUGCGAGCAAUGCAGGGAAGGCCAUAUUCCCACACAUAGCGACGCCGCGUGAGCGAUGAAGGCCUUCGGGAUGUAAACCUCUGUUGUCAAGGAAGAAAAUGGCAGUCCCUGAAUGGUAUGCCCCGUGAUAGUUCUUUGCCAGAAACCCCCGGUAUUACUUCGUGCCCACGCCCUUCUCCAUAUUUUAUGUGGGUAGCGUUAUCCUAAAUCGUUGGGCGUGCCGAAGGUGCAAGCCGCCGCCUCGGUCUCUGGAGUGCUAUCGAAACUGAUCUUCUGUAAUCCCUGAAAACCCGGCGGAUUUCCUGCUGAAGAGGAUCAUGGAAUUCCUUGUGUAACGAACACCUGCGUAGAUAGAUGGAUGAUCGCACAGAUGGCUGACGCUUACAGGUCUGGACCCCUGCUGACGCUCAUUCAUUAAAUCCCGCUGGAGCUCCUCGCAUUAAAUACAUCUACUGACUACCACGUCCGGUAUGACGAUAGGUCAUCUCAGUGUCGCGGGGUCAAACACCCGGUGCUGCACUCUGACGCAAUACGUGACCCGCCUGAAUACUCACGUUCAAUUGGAAUGGAAACUCAAAGGAAUUGACGG
rnacentral:rRNA from 1 species